UACGUAGGGAGCGAGCGUUGUCCGGAUUCAUUGGGCGUAAGAGCUACGUAGGCGGCUUGAUAAGUCGGAUGUGAAACCUCCAGGCUCAACCUGGAGUCGCCAUCCGAUACUGUCAUGGCUAGAGUCCGGUAGGGGCCCACGGAAUUCCUGGUGUAGCGGUGAAAUGCGCAGAUAUCAGGAGGAACACCGGUGGCGAAGGCGGUGGGCUGGGCCGGCACUGACGCUGAGGAGCGAAAGCGUGGGGAGCGAACAGG
rnacentral:rRNA from 1 species